GCAGCCCCGACUGCUCCUCCUGCAGAUACAGACUGUGCUGCAUUUAAAGCCGCCGGACACACGACCAGUGGAGUCUACACACUUGGCUCACCCCUGUCCGGUGUAACGGUCUACUGUGACAUGGAUACAGCAGAAGGGGGCUGGACUGUGAUCCAACGACGAUUGGACGGGUCGGUUCCCUUCGACCGGACCUGGGAGGAGUACAAGCACGGGUUUGGGAACAAGAACGGGGAAUACUGGCUUGGGAACGAGAACAUCCACCUCCUGACCAAUCAGAAGGACUAUAGACUGCGGAUCGAGC